GCGGAUCACGUGAUGACGUGUGUCUCUGAUAACCUAUCGAUGCAGCUUACCAAGUGGAAGGAAAAAGCUGGCGGAGAGGGAUUCGAGUGGGUGGACAACUACCAAGGUGCUAUAGUCACAGUGGAGCGCUGUUUCAGGGAAGGGAAACUCUUCCCGAGUGACAUGAAGGUCGCUCUGGCUAUGGUUCGCUGGUACCGCGACACAUUCUUUUGACAUCUAGCAGGAAGAUGAGACAACAAGA